rnacentral:lncRNA from 1 species
UUUGAGUCCUGACAUUAUGUUAGAAUGUGAUCACUACAAUUUGAAACCUUCUUCGAGCCUUGCUCUGCACACUUGUGGAGACAUCUUUCAAAUUCUAGAUUUACCUGUAUUGCUGGAUUCCUCACAGGACAAAACUGAGUAAAUGGAUUUCCUAUAACAUUGGUGAAAUGCAUAAGUGCAAUGAGGACAUCAGUAGGUGCAGAAGGUUCCCUAAGAGAAGAGACUCUAUGGCUAUUCAAAAGUUACCUAAUAAAAACAAAAGGCAAUGCGAACUAAAACAG